rnacentral:rRNA from 1 species
GGGGAAUAUUGCGCAAUGGGGGAAACCCUGACGCAGCAACGCCGCGUGGGUGAUGAAGGUUUUCGGAUCGUAAAACCCUGUUUUCUGGGACGAUAAUGACGGUACCAGAUGAGGAAGCCACGGCUAACUACGUGCCAGCAGCCGCGGUAAUACGUAGGUGGCAAGCGUUGUCCGGAUUUACUGGGCGUAAAGGGUGCAUAGGCGGAUGCUUAAGUGAGAUGUGAAAUACCUAGGCUUAACUUAGGGGCUGCAUUUCAAACUGGGCAUCUAGAGUACAGGAGAGGGAAACGGAAUUCCUAGUGUAGCGGUGAAAUGCGUAGAGAUUAGGAAGAACACCAGUGGCGAAGGCGGUUUCCUGGACUGUAACUGACGCUGAGGCACGAAAGCGUGGGUAGCAAAC